UACGGAGGGUGCGAACGUUGCUCGGAAUCAUUGGGCGUAAAGCGCGCGUAGGCGGCCCGGUAAGUCCGCUGUGAAAGUCAAAGGCUCAACCUUUGAAUGUCAGCGGAUACUGCCGGGCUAGAGUCCGGAAGAGGCGAGUGGAACUCCUGGUGUAGCGGUGGAAUGCGCAGAUAUCAGGAAGAACACCAACGGCGAAGGCAGCUCGCUGGGACGGAACUGACGCUAAGGCGCGAAAGCGUGGGGAGCGAACAGG
rnacentral:rRNA from 1 species